CGCGUCUGGACUGUGCGCACGCGGAGCGCGCGGAAGCCGGGCGGGGAGGGAGGGGCGCCCGCCCGCCGGUCCCCUUCCCGGGACUGGCAGGCCCCGCCUUUCAUCUUUUCAUCGUUUGGAGCCCCUUUCCCGGAAAUCCCGAUGUCUGCUGCACACGGGUCUCUACCGGUUAGGGAUUAAGAGUGAGUCGGCAGGAGUCAAACAGAGUGAGAAGGCUUAAUUCACAGGCCCCUAGACACUGAACGUGAGAGGGUAGAAGAAAGGCUUUUUUCCUCCUCUGCUGACCUAAAGGAAAUAAUACGGAAUAUUGGAACAAGUGCUGAUCAAAGAGAAGCAUCUCUGGAAUGCCUCCUGAGCCAGGCAUCACGACAGGUGGAGCUCCCAAGACACAGUCUCUGCCCAUCAGAGUUCAUCCUGCGUGGAAGACACACGCUGACAGGCAGAGGCCAGUUCCCAGCCAGCUGUGCGGGGGCUCAGGGGCCACGGCGUGGGGAGCCCGAGAGCUGAUGGAUACAAAGAGAUAUAACUGAACCAAUGAGAACACGAAAUGGAAAGAUUCUCUGGUUGCUGGUACAGCGACUGUGAAAUACUAUAAAUCUCAGCCCAGAAGGAAUUAAUUUGAUUAUGUAGAUGCAGACUCAAAAUUAGUAGGACCAUAAUCCCUUGGGGGAUCCGCAUUUGUUCUGAACGCUCUUACUGAAUGUUCCUGGGAACACAGCACACAAUAUUAUUGUUAAGCCACCAGGACGGGGAGCGCAGUAAGUCGGAUGGCAGAGAGAUACUAGAAGUCAUGUGCUUGCCUUGCUUAACGAAAUCUGAUGAAGAAAGCUCGAGAUACCAACUACAGGGCUUAGGCUACGGCACGGGGAACCUGACCCCAGGAGCCUCUUACAGAUAUGAGUCCCCGGACUGAGGCACAGAUGUGCCCAGAGCAUAUGGUCCUGAUUUGUAUCAGAGAACUGGAGGCUUAUAGAUGAUCCCCUGCCUCAAAGGAAACAGAGAACACCCUUACUUAGUUAAGGUCUUGUUAAAAUCUAGCAAGACCUGCUCUAAGGGGCGGGCCUCACCGGAAAGACAGUCAGAGAAGGGCUGUUUAUUCAGCAGGGGUUGAAUAAAUGCCUUCUGUACGUGAGGCACAACACAAAACAAUGGGAAAACGCAGAAUAAGAUAAACGGGAUCUAUGCCAUCAGGGGGCUUGUGGGCCAAAGACUGCUGACCAAGGCGUUCCCAUGGAACUCAGUUUCCCCAUCUGGAAAAGGGGAAACCUCCCUCCCUCACAUAGGAAACAUGAAGAUUAAAUGAUGCACGUAAAGCAAGUAGCGAAUGCUUGGCAGGUAUCGAGCGCACGACAGUAGCUGGUUCCGCCACCCUUUCUGUGAUGCAAGAGUCUGCGUCCUCUGGGUUACUCUGAAUCUUGCCCACUCUGGUCUGACACCAGGACACCAUGGCCCCAACUCUAGCCCUCCAGCUGCUGUCCUAACCCAGAUGUCCCCAGGAUGUCUGAAGUUGCCAUUACAGUGCACCCCACCCCCACACCAAGACUGCCCACUGCAGGGCGGACAUUUAUUUGGUUAGGAAAGCCACCUGGUUUUAAAAUGUGAAUAUAUUUGGGCUGCAACAGUGAUUUCAAUUUGUAGAUUACACCACGGUUGUGCUAUCAAGCAGUGUUCAGGUUUAUUAAUUUUACAUGCAUUGGAGUCUUUGAAAUUGUUGGUUCGUAUGUAUGGAAAUAAAUUUUCAUGAAAUGGACUACAAGCUCUGUUAUACAAGACAUCUUUAAUGCUAGAGUAAAAUAGAUUUUAAAUUACUAGAAUGAUAGCUUUCUACUAUAAAUUUGUGUAGAAAAAGGGGAAAAAGAAAGCACAGAUAGAACAAAAAAAAAGAGGAAGAAGGGAAAGUAGAUACGAAGUCGCUGUACUUUUGGCUAUGUUGGGGAGAAAUUUUCUCCCGUUUUCCUGGAACCCAGACCUUUUUCCACCCUUAGGAAGUGCUGUAAGGGUUGGGGCUAUUGAUCUCAGCCCCACUAGUGCUCAGGAGCAACUUGGGACAGCUCGAGUGGAGCUGUGGCUGAGCUGGAAGGAAAUGACACGGGGCCGAAGUGAGGUUGCAAUAGCAGGCAGCCUCCAAGAGCAUCUGCUUCAGAUAACUGGGCUCAGACAGGGAGGAAACAGGAUCUCGCGGCCACUGAGCUGAAACGGGAGCCCAGACCCUCCGGUGAUGGGACCGAGGCUCUGCUGGCUGAUCUGUGGACCAGGGGGAGGAACUGGCGCAAUGGUUCUCACUAGGAUCACGCCGAGGUCUGGCUGCCUGAGAAUAAGGCUGUUCAGAGUCUCUCCUCUCCUUUGAGUUAAUUCCUCCAUCUGCCCUGGGCCACCACUCUACGGGCACACUUCAUAACUGCUUGCAGAAUGAUUCAGGUCUUCACGAAAUCAAAGCUAGCGCAGAGUACAGAAUCCCGAGGAGACCAAGGGAAGGCGACUUGGAGAGUGUCUGCUGUUAGAGAGGAAAUGUGGUAAGUUGAACCAGAAGCUUAGAUUUUUUUUUUCAAAGGCAUGAAGUUGCACAUGAUACUGCUUUACUGGACCUGACGAAGAAGGAAAUGAAAUUGGAAAGCAAGUUCUUUUAAUCUAGUCAGAAAAAAGAAAAAAUUUUUUUUUACAUUUCCCCCACAAUUUUCUGUUGUAUUCCCUUUAUAUACUCUUUUCUUUGCCUAAGAAUGAAUUUUGCAUUGUCAUUCUGUUAUUACCAGAAAGUUGUCUCACAUUAUUACUAGGUGUGACUACAAAGUAAGGGUAGUGAUUUCACCAGCCAUGCACGGGGAUCAGUGUCCUUAUUUCGUAUCAAAGCACACGCGGUAUUCUGUUUGCGUGGAGUGGAGGAUGUGAUUCGGGAUGUCACUGGCAAUCUCUGAUUUUACUUGUUCGCACAUGGAGUCAAGACUUAACAACUGAUUCCAGAACUUUGCAUUUCCAAAAUAGUUUACACUUUUAAAAGUAAUCAUAUAUUACUUACUUAAUAAUUCAAC
ensembl:lncRNA